rnacentral:lncRNA from 1 species
GUGGAAGAGGCAAAGAUACGCCUGGUAGAGAAAAAAGCGAAAAACAAGCAGGAGUCUGUUGACCAAAGAAGAAUUGCAGUUAAAACUAAAAAAUGAAGGCCAACUUGAAAGACCACCAAAAGAUGGAUAUGGCUUGUAUUUCAAACUACAAUUCACAAGUAAUUAUUUAAAGAAAUUUGUGACUAAAGAGAGAACAGCUGUAAUAGCUAGAAACUGGAGGGAAUUAAGUGAUGGAGAAAAAACAUCAUACAAAGACAAAGUCACUCAGAUGCAUUUUGAUUACUAUCUUGAACUCUCUCACCAGAACAUCGGUGUUCUAAACUCCAAAAUCGUCUGAACAAAUCUCAAAGAAAAAGGAAGGCUGCCAAAAAGGCUGAAGAUGGACAGAGCUUAUAGGAGGCCCAGUAUAAUGCAGAGGAGGAAGACGUGGAUUCAUAAGAAGAAAGAGAUUCAAAUGAUGAUCUAUGUUACUAUGAUUACACAGAUGAGACAAGUUCUGAUUCCAAGAAAUUGCUCUCUGAUUCUUCCGAGGAAGAUGAUAAACAAGACGAGGCAGAAGGUGAGGAUCAAGAAUUUGGAGGAUUCGAGAAAGCCAACAAUAAACAAUUUAAAAAAAGGGCCCGUAGGGCAAGAUACAUUAAUAAUCAAGAAAGCAAAAAAAAACUCAGUUUCGUGCCAUUUUCACGACAGUUCACAGCGUUUCUUCAAUUCCCACUGUAUAACUGUGAAUCAAUUUACAAAAUUUCUUAAUAUAACAACAUGGGUUUCGUAGAGCGGUGCGGCACAUCUGGAUGCCUUAACUAACGAAAGAGGAAUUGCUGAUCAAACUAAGAAUGAAGGGAAAUCAGACAAACCACCAAAAAACGGUUACUUUUUAUUUGCCAAACAACUUGUUUCAAGCAAUUCUUUAAAGCAUUUUGAGACUUAAGAAAGAAAAGUGGAAAUAGCUAAACGCUGGAAGGAAUUGAGUGAUUAUAAGAAGACUUCGCACCAUAACGAAGCCUUAGAAGUAACAUUUAUUAAAACAAGACGUUAUUCGAUGAUGUUGGUCACAGCUACGCGCAGGCAGUUUUCUGAGCAGGUUACUUUAAAAAUCUCUGCUUUUUCCUGAGCAGUGAAAUAAAACGCCAGGACAAAACGAACGAAACGGCAGCCAUGACAUGAAAGUUCUGAUCAGGUGGUGCUAAGCAGCAGGAAUGGCCUUACGUCAAACACACCAAUAACAAUAAAUAAAUAAGCAUAGUAGAAAUAUAACAAUUACAGCAGUAUAAAUUAAGGAAAAAUUAUAAUAAUUAUUUCAGUGAG